rnacentral:sRNA from 2 species
AUAAAAGUUUUCUAGGGUUCCGUAGCAUAUGCUAGCCUGGUCCGAGAGAAAACCACAAAAUUUUUUUUUGUGACACGGAAGGAUAAAAGCCUGGGAGAU